UAAUACGUAGGGGGCGAGCGUUGUCCGGAUUUACUGGGCGUAAAGCGCGUGUAGGCGGUACUCUAAGUCCGGGGUGAAAUCCGGGGGCUUAACCCCCGAACGGCGCCGGAAACUGGGGUGCUUGGGUGUCGGAGAGGGGAGUGGAAUUCUCGGUGUAGCGGUGAAAUGCGUAGAGAUCGAGAGGAACACCCGUGGCGAAGGCGGCUCCCUGGCCGAACACUGACGCUGAGACGCGAAAGCGUGGGGAGCGAACGG
rnacentral:rRNA from 1 species